CAAUACUUCAAAUAGGGUGGUGCAGUAUUCUAGUCGGUCUUCCGAUUCCGAAGGUGGGCCUAAAAAUCCACUAAAGGGCAUAUCGAUGAAGUUCCUGGUCUUGGCUUGAGGCGCCCAGCCUUGGGCUUUUUCUGGGAGUAAAGGUUUUCGGGCGAUCCACAAUGGCAUGUGGGCGAUGACCCGAUUACCGCGGAGGCUUUCGUUUUUUUAGCAUAAGCGUAUGCAAUAAAAACGAUUGUAUGAACCUGCGGGAGUGAUGACAAUCAACCGCAGCGUAGCCUGCCAUGAGUGGAGAAUGAGGGGAUUGCGGUUACAGGGAACAUAUUAGUUGGCCAUUAAUAUGUUCUUUUCCGUCCGCAUGAAAUCAUUUCUGCAAAAGAGGAUAAGGAAUCUAGUGUAAGGCUGCCGAGGAAAUCUCCUAGACUGUCUUUAAAGCGUGAUUGAAGGCUUGCAGUGCGGACUAAGUGGCAAUCCAGUCCGGCAUAUGGCGACAUAGCUGAAGCCAAUUUAAAGGGAAACCGCCAGUAUGGCAACAGCUGGUAUUGGUUUGGGAAAACCUACUGGACCUAAGCCGUAAUUUUAACUUCAAUCAUGACCCCCAUUUUUAUUUACGAU
rnacentral:sRNA from 1 species